rnacentral:lncRNA from 1 species
UGACCUUAAAAAAUUUUUAUACCCAUCGACAUUCGAAAGGCCUGCUAAGUGGCGAAAUAAUGCAGAAUAUGGAUUGCAAUCUAGUAUUCUCUAAAGCUGCUCUAUAAUAGACUCCUUAAAUUUAGGAGAAAUGGCCAUACGGUUGCUUGUUUUAUGAUCUGUGUCGAAGAAAUAUAAUUGAACAUUCGAAGGAGGCUGGCCAUGUGAAGGACUCAAUGGAUUCAUAAAAUGGUAC